rnacentral:misc_RNA from 1 species
CAGCAUGCUCCUCAGACCAGAUACGUAUCGUGAUGAAUGGGAAGAGGACCUCCUGAUCUCGAAAGCCAACGAGGACUUCGCUAAAUACACUGCAAAAUGAUUUACUAGAAGCCAACCAUUGAAAAUUUCUAGACUGAUUUACAAACAGUUCCAUUUCUGAAUAAAGCAGCUUGUAGCCAUUGGAUAAGACCUAGUGGGAAUAGAAAAGAGCUCAAGAAAUAUACCUGACAUGGAGAUAAUGAAAGAAAUGAAUAAGUGAAGGGGAUCAAACUAGUCCACGCAUAAUAAGCUC